rnacentral:rRNA from 1 species
AUGACCCGCUUGCAUCAUAGGCGUGUCUCAAUGGCUAGGUCGAACAGGUCUUCUUCUAGUGCCUCCGUAGGAAACAAUGGAUCAACUCAGUCAACUGUACAUGCUAAAAAGCCUAGAACACCAAGAACUAGGACUUCAGCCGGUCUCAGACUAGAGGAAAUUGACCGACUGCUUAUAGUUCCCGUUGGCAUGGCAUGGGAAAGGCACCCAUACAGCGCUCGUGAUCCAUCAACGGUGCUAGGUGCCUUAGUGCGCCAGAUGUAUCCACCGCCAAUUGGUCCAAAAAAUGAUCAGAAACCGGUAUUGUGUUGGGAGGACUACAAGUGGUCCCCUGGUCCAGAAGUAAGAACAGCAUCUUCCAAAAUAGUGGAAGAAUUUUGGUGGCGUUUCAAGUGUGACCCAUCGGAGCAAGAGAAGGCAGAUGGUGUUUUGGAGGAGAACUUAACUAGGAAAGUGAAGCAGAUGCUACAUGAGGAAAAGGCGGCAUCCAUCAAAAGAUUAAAGAAGAAGGGACAAUUGCCUACAGAACUAACAGAAGAGGAUGAGGAUGACGUUGGUUGGCGUCUACUAUGUGAGCACUGGAGUAGUACUGAAUUUAGAGGGUUAUCUUUAACCAGCAAAAGGAACAGACUUGCUAAUGGGGACACGGUCUUCCAUUGCAGUGGUGCUAGAAAUGUUGUCGCCACACGUCAAUUUCUGAAACUCAAAACCGGGGAAGACCCUGGAAUUUCUGGUGCUUGGCUUCACACGCACAAAUUGCAUCGAGGGACUGAUGAAGAGCAGAUAUGCAGUCAAAGAACUGCUGAUCAUUGGGAGGAUUUUGAUAAGGCAAUGAAAAAUGCCCAUGGAGAAAAUUGGGAAGAGGAGCACCCGGAUUUAGAUGGACAAAUCAUCUACGAAGCAGCAGGCAGAAUGCCACAUGGCAGGCUGGGAAUUGCUAAUGAGUUGUUUAGCAAAGCAGAGAAGGCGAAGUUUAAGUCUAAAAGGGCGAUGGCCUCACAGCCGGUGCAAUCUGCUAAGGAGGAGCGUCUAGAAAGAGAAAACAAAUAUUUGAAGCAGGAGAUCAAGCGUCUUCGAGGCAUUGAGCUUGUUGUUCAGACUCAUCGAACAAAAAAAGGCGAUCCAGCAAUUGAUCACCUAGAUCCUGCAGCAACCAACUAG